UGCUAAUACCGCAUUAACAUAUUCGGACCGCAUGAUCUGAAUAUCAAAGCUUUAUGUGCUGAAAGAUGGCCUCGCGUCUGAUUAGCUAGUUGGUGGGGUAACGGCCCACCAAGGCGACGAUCAGUAGCCGGUCUGAGAGGAUGAACGGCCACAUUGGGACUGAGAUACGGCCCAGACUCCUACGGGAGGCAGCAGUGGGGAAUAUUGCACAAUGGGCGAAAGCCUGAUGCAGCAACGCCGCGUGAGGGAAGACGGUUUUCGGAUUGUAAACCUCUGUCUUCGGUGACGAAUAAUGACGGUAGCCGAGGAGGAAGCCACGGCUAACUACGUG
rnacentral:rRNA from 1 species